rnacentral:rRNA from 1 species
UUCCGGUUGAUCCUGCCGGACCCGACUGCUAUCAGAGUGAGAUUAAGCCAUGCGAGUCAACAUAGCAAUAUGUGGCAUACGGCUCAGUAACACGUAGUCAACAUGCCCAGGGGACGUGGAUAACCUCGGGAAACUGAGGAUAAACCGCGAUAGGUCAUCACUUCUGGAAUGGGUAAUGACUUAAAUCUAUAUGGCCCCUGGAUUGGACUGCGGCCGAUCAGGCUGUUGGUGAGGUAAUGGCCCACCAAACCUAAAACCGGUACGGGCUCUGAGAGGAGAAGCCCGGAGAUGGGCACUGAGACAAGGGCCCAGGCCCUAUGGGGCGCAGCAGGCGCGAAAACUCUGCAAUAAGCGAAAGCUUGACAGGGUUAUUCUGAGUGAUUUCCGCUAAGGAAAUCUUUUGGCACCUCUAAAAAUGGUGCAGAAUAAGGGGUGGGCAAGCCUGGUGUCAGCCGCCGCGGUAAUACCAGCACCCCGAGUGGUCGGGACGAUUAUUGGGCCUAAAGCAUCCGUAGCCGGUUCUACAAGUCUUCCGUUAAAUCCACCUGCUUAACAGAUGGGCUGCGGAGGGAUACUAUAAAGCUAGGAAGCGGGAGAAGCAAGCGGUACUUAGUGGGUAGGGGUAAAAUCCG